UGACCUCCUUCCCAGGAACUCAAAAGGCAAAAAGGAGGUAUCCGUUGGAAGUUAAGGUAACUGGAUCUUGUGAUGGUGUGAGGUUGCCACACCCCCUGCUCCUUAACCUUCCUUAGCUCCCCACUGCCCCAUAGUUCUCAAGCUCUUGGUUCCAAACCACGAUGGCACAUCCUGCCCAUUGGCAGGUUCCAUGGCCCCUGCCCCUUUGCUUUUCUCUCCAGGGCCACGUUUGUCGUUCUGCUAGCCUUUGCCACUUCCUGGAAGGCCGGGACACCUCUGCGUAGCUACCGAUUUCUUCCACGUGACUCUUCUGGAGGCUUUCGCGUUGGGAGGAGGGAGCGGAGCUGAGGCCCAGGGGGGCAGGUUCUCCGCCGCAGCCAGUGAAACCUGCGGCAGAUCCAGGACACUAGCUUGGGUCACGCCUCCCCGAGGCCAGUGGGUGUGGCUCCGUGGUUCCUCCUCUCAGGCCAGUGAGCUCUCACUGCGUAGUUACCAGGGACAGAGUCACCGGGGAGCCCCUUAGGAUCCAAGUCCCAGCUUGACACCCCUGCUUUGUCACCCCAAACAAGUCAUGUCACCUUCCUCUGUAAAAUGCAUGGAGAUCACGCUCCCUGACAGGUCAUGUUAAGGGUCAAAUGAUGCGUUGUUAGGACUAAUAUUUAUUUAUUUAGUGUUUAUUUUUGUGUAAGAGUAUAUAUGCAGUGUAUAUGUGUGGUAUAUGUACCAGUGGAGGGCAAGGGAUCUGCACAGGAGGCCAGAGGAGGGUGUCAGGUGUCCUGAUCUACCACUCUCUGCCUUAUUCCCUUGAAAUAUUACUGUCUCGCCAAACCUGAACAAGGCUAGUGGAUUGCAGGCCCUUGAGAUCCUCUUUAUCUCUGCCCCCCACAAUGCUGGGUUUGCAAACAUGUCAGACAGCUUUUUACAUGGGUACUGAGGGCCUGAAAUCAGAUCUUCGUGUUUGCUCAGCAAACAUUCUUACCAUCCAAGCCAUCUUUCUAGCCCAUACUGAGGGCUAAUCACACUAUAAGUGUUAGAUCUAGAACAGAGGAGCCACAGAGCCACGUGAUGCAAAAUUCAAAAUACAGCAUAAAAGCCCCCGCUCAGCACCAGCCCUGAUGGAACCCGCUAGGUCCCAGGUGGCUGUCCCUCCGGAAGUCAGCCAACGUUCCCUCUAGUGAGGCAUGGGUACAGACACACAUUUAUACACAUGUUACUGUCAUGGAACACCUGGGCUGUGCUAUACCCUUCUGCACAUAGUAGGUAUUCAGAGAUGGCUAGGUUUAUGUGGCACCUGCCAUUAUUGCAUUCAUAGUGAGGAGAUUAAAAAGACCUUCCCAAGA